rnacentral:lncRNA from 1 species
UGGAUUUUCUGGAGUCUGGGGUCAGCAGGUGGCGGGGUGCAGACCUGUCAGAGCGCUGUCCCCAGCCGCGCCAGGGCAGCACCGCGGUGCCCAGCAGCCGGCCCCAUUUACCCCUUGCUGGGCUCAGUGGAGCCAUUUGGGGCACGGAUUUCCCCCCAGGACACCGACACCGCCCCCUCGCUGUGCCCUGGGUGGGGGGGCAUCGCCCCCAUCUGGGUCCCGGUUUGGGCACUGGGUGCUGGGGAGCACCCACGGGGAGGGGAUUUGGGUGGGUGCUGUGGGUCAGCGGCUUGGUGGUGCGGUGGCUCCCUGCUCCCUGCUCGCCGUGCCGGUGCUGGCACCAAGGUGGGGGCACCGCUGCCUGCGGGGCGGGCAGACAGGGCUGUGCCCCCCCAGCUCAGCCCUACUGGGUGCUACUGCACGGGGGAAACUGAGGCAGGGCUGCGGUGGGACAGCCAACGAGCCGAGCACCGCGUCCCCUGCCACCCCCCCCCCCCCGAGGCUUUCUGCUGCCGGGGGGGCCGCCGUGGAGCCGCUCCCCCCAGUUUUCCCCGUUCUCAGAAGGCAACAGCCCUGCGGCGGCCAUGCGGGCAGCACCCAGCCCACGCCGCCCUCCCCGCUCGCCGAGCUAAACCGGGACGGAGAAACCCCGCAGAGCUGCUGGUGGCUGCGAGGUCCCUGCACCCCCGCAGGUCACCGGGCCUGGAGGGGGUCCCCAGCAGCCCCCCCGGCCCCCCACAGCUCCUGGAUGGGCGACGGGACCCCCGUGCACGAGCCCCUCACCUCCUGCUCUGCCCCGGCACCAUCGGUGCCUGCAGCCUGCGGCCGGGGCUGGCCGGUGAGGGUGCAGCAGGGCUCGGGGUCGUUCCCCGCUGGGUUCUGCUCGUGCCUUCCUCCCCAGGGGCCGAGAGCUCAGCGGACGCAUUGCUGCCCGCAGAGCCCCCUCCCCGCGUCCCCUUCUUACCCUCCUGCACUUGUGGCUUCUGCAGACCCCGCGGCGAGUGCCUCCGCCUGUCCCACGGACGCAGCCGUGCUCCUGCUCCGCCAUCUCGUGUCUCUGUCCCCCUGCAGGGUCACCGCGAGCAUCCCCACCCUCUCCUCUGCCCACAGCCCCCCGGGACACCAGGGCAGCCGGGACCCCCGCAGGACUGCCCCCCCCCUACAGUGUGGGUGCUCUACGCCAAAGACAUCCCCAUCGGCAGCACCGAGGAGGAGGAGGAGGAGAUGAGAGCCGAGGCCAAAGGGCUGCACAAAACCCCAGAGCAAACGCCGGAGCCGAUGAAGGAGCCGGUGCUGGCGGGGGCUCGGCCGCCCCCCGCGGUGCCCAAGGGGCUGCGGCUGCACCCGGGCAGCCUCUGCCCCCUCCUCGUGCCCCAGCCCUGCCCCUGCGGCACCCGCUGCCCCCCGUUCCUGCUGGCCCCGCACCCUGCACCACCCCUCGCCCCGCUGGGUGACACGCGGGCCCUGGUGUCACCUCCGCGGGGUGGCACGGGCUGCGGUGCCCUCCUGCAGCUGCCGCCCCCCCUGGGGACGCACGGCACCGUCCCGGCCCCACGCAGGCAGCGGGUGCCUGAGCUGCAGAAGGCACCGGUGGCUUUUCUGCCCCUCCCCACAGGGGGUGGGUGCCCGCCACCCCAAAAAGCCCCCGCCUGCCCGGCCAAGCCACCCGCCCGAGCCACACUGGGGCCGCGGGGGAAGCAGGACAGCAGGAACAAGUACGAGUGCCGCGUCUGCAGCAAGCGCUUCAGGCAGCUCUCCAACCUCAAGAUGUGCUGCAAGCGCUUCCGCAGCAGCAGCAACCUGAAGACGCACCAGCGGCUGCACGCGGGCCGGGACCCCACCCAGUGCCACCUCUGCCCCGGCCGCUUCUCCCCACGCGUCCAUCUCCAGCUCUGCCGGUGCCCGUGCGAGUGCUGGCACCUGCCCCGUGCCCCCCCCCGACCCCCAGAGCCUCCUCGUGCAAACCCUGGGAUGCUUCAGCCUGGGCAUGGGGUGGCUGCAACGGGAGGAAGAGGAGGAGGAGGAGAAGGAGGAAGGGCAGAGCUGCCCUGCGGCACUGCUGCGGGGCUGGGUGCUGGGGGAGGGGGGGACGGGGGUGCCCGGGUGGGCAGGGGCGCACGUGGGGUGCCCUGUGCCUGCCUGGCCCCGCUUUGGUGGCCCCUGGAGGCAGCCGCGUGCCCCGUUGUGGCUGGUCUGAGCUGAAGCCGUGCCUUUGUGCCGCAAACGCCCCUUUCCAUGGAAAAAGGUUUAAUUUCUGUUUUCUAAUUUCUGUUCAUGUUUUAAUUUCUCAGCCCCCUCCAUCGCUGGCACACCCCCAGCUCCGUGGUGCCUGUGGGGACGUGGCCCUGCCCACCCUCACCCGCU